rnacentral:rRNA from 1 species
GGGUGCGAUGUUACCAGCAGUAAUGCACCAGAUCCAAUUAGAACUUUGAAGUUAAAAGUGCUUGGGCACAAGUAGUACUAAGAUGGGUGACCUCUUGAGAAGUCCUCUUGUUGCAUGAU